GUCGAGCGGACUUGACGGAAGCUUGCUUCCGUUCAAGUUAGCGGCGGACGGGUGAGUAACACGUGGGUAACCUGCCUGUAAGACUGGGAUAACUCCGGGAAACCGGGGCUAAUACCGGAUAUUCUUUUUCUUCGCAUGAAGAAGAAUGGGAAAGGCGGCUUUUAGCUGUCGCUUACAGAUGGACCCGCGGCGCAUUAGCUAGUUGGUGAGGUAACGGCUCACCAAGGCAACGAUGCGUAGCCGACCUGAGAGGGUGAUCGGCCACACUGGGACUGAGACACGGCCCAGACUCCUACGGGAGGCAGCAGUAGGGAAUCUUCCGCAAUGGACGAAAGUCUGACGGAGCAACGCCGCGUGAGUGAAGAAGGUUUUCGGAUCGUAAAGCUCUGUUGUCAGGGAAGAACAAGUACGGAAGUAACUGUCCGUACCUUGACGGUACCUGACCAGAAAGCCACGGCUAACUA
rnacentral:rRNA from 1 species